GAGGUUGGGGAGAUCUAGGGAAUUGUGAGUAUAUAUAUUCUGUUUUUAUUUUGCACUUUCUAGGCCUUUGGGUGUUUUGCAAAUUCUGAUCACUUGGACAAAUAAACAAAUCCUUCAUGUUAGUGGCUGGUUUAGUUUCAAUCAUAUCAGUUCAUACAUAUGUGCCUUUGUUGUGGCACAAGGGCGUGCUUUGCUGCUACUUACCUGCAGAGAUACUCCUUUUUCCCUAUUAUUUACCUUUAUUUUGUGAGUAAUUAUUUGUUUAGAAAUGUAUUCAAAAUAAAAAAACAAGAUUGCUCUAAAGAAGGCAAUUAGAGACUUCUAAACAAAUAUUGUAAACAAAAAUUGCUUGAGAAAUAUUUUGAGUACUUUCAUCUUUUGUAGAUUUUGAUACUGUCCAAGAUGUAGCAACUUAGACAAUGCCUAUAAUCCACAUAGCAAUCACCAUUAAUGGGGGUUCUUUAAUUUUUUUGAAACAUUUGCCUUCAUAAAAUCGAUUGACAAGGUUUGGCAUGUUCCAUGGAUGGAUAAAAAUGCACUCAGGUUUAUUAUUAACUCCUUGUACAGUAGUUACGUUGCUUUCAAAAUCUCAUUUUGAUCUAUCAUCGAAAGUGAAAAUAAUGAAUUGGAAUAUGAGAAAUGGUUUUAUAAUUUUGUAUCACAAAAAUUAUCCAUUUUAUAAUUGUUUAAGAAGAAAGAAUAAAAUGUGGAUAAUUUCAUUGUGAACAUUUGAUCCUCUUCCAUGCUGCCAAAAACUUUGCAAUUGUUACAUCUAUGCACUAUCAAAUAGGAAACUUAUCACUCAUAAAAAAAUUUAGACAUUAUUUUUCGUUCUAUAUAAUUAAAAAAAAAGAGGAUUCACUUUGUUAUAGGAUAAGGUUCCUCCAGAUAAGAGAUGAAUGAAGCAAGGAAUGAUGAAUUUGAAAGCAAAUUCUGCUGACAAACCUCAGAAGUUGCAUUUGGUUUAGUGGAUUGGAAAGUAAAGCUCCCUCUUGUCCUGUGUUUGCUGCACUUUUUGGGUAGAUGUGUUUCUGUCAUGUUCAGUCCUUCAGUCAUUUUUUUUGUUUUCUUCUUCUUCCCUAGACAAAAUAUGCAGCCCAAGGCCGAGAGUGUUGAUGUUCCUCAUGAACAACACCCCCCUAC
rnacentral:misc_RNA from 1 species